rnacentral:lncRNA from 1 species
AGAACGGGGAAGAGAACUGUGUUUUCAGUUGAAUAAAAAGAAAAUGCAAAGACCAAGGAAGGAAAGGGGAAGAUAAUAGUUUCUGCGCUAAAGCCAAAAGAAAAUGUAAAGAAACCCAACAGAAAAAUCAAAACCAAAUUCAGUUUGGAUGAAGAAGAGGAAGAGGAAUUUUUGCCCGCUGACGAAGACCUUGACGUAGAACAGAUAGUACAGUAUUCUCCUGAAAGCAAUGAUGCCACAUGUCUAUUUUGUGAACAACAGUUUUCUGAUGACACUAGAGGAGAAACGUGGGUUCAAUGUUUAAUAUGCAAUCUCUGGGCACAUGAACAGUGUUCCGGAGCUGAAAAAGACUCUUACGUUUGCGAUUUUUGCAGAUAAUUUUAUUUUAUUUUUUCACAGAUAUGUUUAUUAUUCUUUAAGCAUAAAUUGUUAGCUAGGUUAUUUCGUAUUUUUGUCGUCAAAAGAAAAUUUUGUUAGUUUUUGAGUGGGGCCCAUAUUUCAGACAGCCUGGCCUGGUUAGAAAAAUAUGCCUCACGUCAUAUUAUUAUCCGUAAAAUAAAUAAACUUUAUUAUAAAAAAUACAUAGUUAGUAGUUGUUUUUCUAAGGUCUUAUAGCAUGUAUAAAUGAUAUGUAGCAUUGUUAUAGACACAUAAUAAGCAAGUUUCAAUAGAAAAACAAAUGGGGGGCCCAUAUUCAGACCAGUUCCUCUACUUUUUAACACGCAUAUCAUACAAUAUUAUUUUUCUACAAACGUAAUUACAGGACCAUAUCUACAGAAACUUUUACUUAAACUUGACUGACAUUCCAUUUUUAUAUUUUUUUGACAUUACAUCAAAAUUGCCUAUACGGUCAAUACGAACUACAGUGUCUUAAAAAUUUUAAAGCACUAGUGCCUUAAAGUAGCAUUUUUAACGCUCGUAUGGAGUGCUAAAAAUUGCAUUUUUAACACGGUUGUAGCGAAAAAUACUUUUUUGCUACAUUUCUCACGUUGAUCUGUGUUUGAACGUUUAAUUCAUUUUUGUUUUUGAUCCCGAUAAAUUAUUAAAACAAGGACAGACACGCAGAAAACUAAAGAAAAAUUAACCUAAGAAAGCAGGACUUAAAGAAGAUUUAUUAAUAUGUGGUGACACAAGGAUAUCAGCACAGGAAUGAAACUAAAUACAUAUCUACGAUACGCUCGUUAAAAGUAUCGCACUCUAUGGUGAAAAAACAUGUAAAUAAAGAUAAUAUGAAAAAAAAA